rnacentral:lncRNA from 1 species
GUUGGAAUUUUUAAUUGAAUAAAAUAAUUAGGGUAUUUCAAAUAGGUGCAUGUUUGGAAUGAAUGGGUUUCUUUCCAAACAACACAUCUAUUUAUGAAAUAACUCUUUUCAAAAUAACAUAUCCCUUCACAAAAGGACUCUUAAAUUUCUAUAAAUAAGACAAAACCUGAUCAGUUUUGCACAAGAGAUAAUAAGACGUUUGUGAAUUUCUUCCUAAAACUCUUCUGUCAAAAUUUCAUCCCUACGUUUCUAGUUCACCGUGGGCUUCGAAUUUGUGCAUAUAUCGAAGUAUCCGACUGUUGUAUCUUGGGAGACUACCGGGAGUGACUGUUGCACCGUAGACAGCCCGGAAAUAUUGUCUUAAGGACAUUGCUUUUGCAAGCCUCAGUCGAUUUUUCGUUCUUCAUAUUUUCGGUAAAUUUCUAAUUCCAAGUAAGUAUAAUUCUUAUUCAAUUAUUUACGCAGAUUGUUAUAUUUAUACCAACAAUCUUAAGACAAUAUGAUUUUUUAUGUUUAUAACAUCUGCGUCAAUUGCGUAUCUGUUAUGAAGUUGUUGUUUGAAAAUUUGUGCGCAAAUUUAAUUUGUUUUAUUCUUUGCCUAAGAAUUUUUGGUGGCUUAAAUUUUAUAUAACAUAAUUAUUCCUUGCGUAUAUGUAUCUCUGGUUCCCAAUAUACUCAUCUGUUAAUUAGAACAGUCCACUUUGAUUUUAAAAUUUUAUAUUUUCAAUCAUGUGCAAAAUAACAGUGGCUGUAUGAGCAGAUAUAGCGUAUGUUCGAAGAAUCUAAUUAAUUAACGACCUGACUAAUUCAAAUUUGAUUUUGAAAUUUAUGUUAAUAGUUUCAUUCUGGUUUU